CGGAAGCGUCCUCACGGCCACGCGCAGCUCCCUCGGUCACUCUCACCGGGCCGCCACUCCUGCAAGAUUCUUAACUUCACAAUGGAAUUGAUCUGGAAGUGCAGUGGUGUGGGCAACACUAAUUUCAAAAGAACUGAUCAUGUUCGUGAAGUCGUAUUGGAUGUGAGGUAGUUCGGGCUUCCUGUUAUGGACAAGAUGGAUGGUAUUGUACAAGAUGAAAUGGGUGGGGAAAAAAGUGCUGUAGCUGUCUUCUUCUGCAGCAGAGAAGAAAGUAAACAGAUCUGCUGAGUGGCAGCUGUUCUUUUAACCUCUUGCUGCCGGCCAUACCUAUAGCCGUCAUAACAAACGUACUUAUGAUGAGUACUACUAUAUGCAUCACGACGUGCUAGAGCGAGUCAAGAGGAAAGUUUUACUACACCUAGUAAACUCCCGGGCCAAAUGGAAGGAUGGUUGAAGUGAAGAUUUCGGAUGCUGUCAUUGAGGGGUUCAUGAAGCCUGUGGACUAGCAUGAAAUGCUGAAGUUGUCAUCAACUGGUGGAACUUCAAACAACCUCCUCAUAGAUGUUGGUACUUCAGAGAAGUUCUUGUUGAAAGCAGCCACAAGAAUUAUCCCUGGCUGUGGUAUUAACCUGGAGUAUACAGCUGUCCAAGAACAAGUCUUGGAGGAUCAUAAUGGGAUAAAUAAAAGAAUGAAAUAAA